CGGCUGAGUAACGAGGAGGGCAUCAGGGCUCAGGAGGUGCCCACUUCCCAAGGAGCAAGGUCAUCUCCGAUUCUCAAGGGAAGAACUGGAAGCCAGCAGUGCCCAUGGAGACAGGUUCCCACCUCCUGCCCCCUUGGGAAUUGCUGGCUCCGCAGGACGAGGUGGGGUCGGAGUUGCAGAAGAUCAGGAAAAGAAAUCUGCAGGAGGUUCAGGUCUUGCCCAAGGUCACGCAGCCAGGAACAGCAAAGCCGGCACACAACGGAGCCUAACGGAUGGGAGACCAGAUGUCCGCGGGCCGGGCAGGAGGGCAGCCUGCUGCACAGCUCCUUGGAUUCUGUGGCCAAAGGACAAAUGAAGAACUCUUACAGAGAUAACGGCUCUGUAACUCAGACGCUAGUGUAAUGGAGGGAGAGGGGAUCACCUCCU